UACGAAGGGGGCUAGCGUUGCUCGGAAUCACUGGGCGUAAAGCGCACGUAGGCGGCAUCUUAAGUCAGGGGUGAAAUCCUGGAGCUCAACUCCAGAACUGCCUUUGAUACUGGCGAGCUUGAGUCCGGGAGAGGUGAGUGGAACUGCGAGUGUAGAGGUGAAAUUCGUAGAUAUUCGCAAGAACACCAGUGGCGAAGGCGGCUCACUGGCCCGGUACUGACGCUGAGGUGCGAAAGCGUGGGGAGCAAACAGGG
rnacentral:rRNA from 1 species